UACGGGAGGCAGCAGUGGGGAAUAUUGCACAAUGGGCGCAAGCCUGAUGCAGCCAUGCCGCUGUAUGAAAAAGGCCUUCGGGUUGUAAAGUACUUUCAGUCGUGAGGAAGGUGUUAAGGUUAAUAACCUUAGCAAUUGACGUUAGCGACAGAAGAAGCACCGGCUAACUCCGUGCCAGCAGCCGCGGUAAUACGUAGGGUGCGAGCGUUAUCCGGAAUUAUUGGGCGUAAAGAGCUCGUAGGCGGUUUUGUCGCGUCUGUCGUGAAAGUCCGGGGCUUAACCCCCGGGAUCUGCGGUGGGUACGGGCAGACUAGAGUGCAGUAGGGGAGACUGGAAUUCCUGGUGUAGCGGUGGAAUGCGCAGAUAUCAGGAGGAACACCGAUGGCGAAGGCAGGUCUCUGGGGCUGUAACUGACGCUGAGGAGCGAAAGCAUGGGGAGCGAACAGGAAUUAGGAAU
rnacentral:rRNA from 1 species